rnacentral:lncRNA from 1 species
CCUGCUGAAUCAAGGGCAUGUUUUCUUCCUAACACCCUUCUGACUGACAACUGCAAGGUGUUCGCAUGGCAGCCAGCUUCAUCUGUCUCUCUAAACACUGAGAGGACCACACCUGAAGUUCAGAGCAUGGCAAAGCACUGCCUUACAAAGUGAAUAACACUUGCUGCAAUAAUUCCAUGAAACUCAUUUGACUAAGUUUCUGCUUUCAUCAGAUUCAGUAAAACCGAUAGCGAUCUUCUUUUAGCUUAGCACUGGAAGCGGCGACGCAGCUUUGCUCAAACCCUCCUUCCUCCCAUCACUUGGCAGAGGGGCUCCCACGGACCCAAGGUGUGGGGCUCUGCGCCCUCAGCACUACACGUGGAGCUCUGCACUUCUGGGGCAGCCUCCUCUGCGUGCCUGCCAGAAGACGUUUCAGCUCGUGCUCAAUCCCAUCUGCCCUAAUGCAUUCCCCUUUCAUUUUGCCUCCAGCUCUCGCUCACUACAUGCAGCUUGUAAACUAAUACUAAGCCCACGCUGAACCCGUUGAGCUAAGGUUUGAGCCAUAAAAGCCUUUUGCAGCUCUUACUAUAUCUUGGUGAAAAAUAAACACGGAAGUUUAGAAGCCCCAACUCAUUCUUGGUCAAAUAUUCAAUUUGCAAAACAAUUAUACAUUCCCCCCUUCCAUGCUCUCCUUUGAAAAAAAUAAGGGAAAGUAAACUGUUAACAUUUAUGGUAGUUGACAAACUUCCAUCUUCGUGUUAAUUACUAGUUCUAAGAGCAUGGAAGCAGACAUAUUCAGCACAUCCUCAGCUUCCUAUUUUGUGUUACUUUUUAGUGUGGUGCCCUCAACAGGAAUCAGAGCCCACAGAAAAUGAAGCCUUCAUCCAAAGUCUGCAAUGCAGUUCAGAGAGUGCAGCCCAGCUGGUCUGCAGCAGCCACACUUCUCACCUCUGUCUUCGAGACCACUAGCAAACAGCCUUCCCACCACCACCUUUAAUAGGUGCACGUGCCAACUUCAUUUGGAACCCUCUAAGGAAAGAUCUGCAGUGGCUGCCAGCCUUUCUACAUCUGCUAGCAUGUCUUUCAAAGCUCAGGUUUAUUUCAGUGCAUUUUUACAACUGGGCUUAAAGAAGAUGUUCCAAAAUCUGUGAAAGAAUCCCUGACUUUCCUUUUGGGGACCAAGUACUGGGUGAGAAAAGUCCAGGACAGAGAAGCCCGAUGGCAAAAAAUAAUUGAAAUAAUGUUCAGGGGAAAUAAAGGAAACUAUUUUUGAAUAGCA